rnacentral:rRNA from 1 species
GUGCCAACAACCGCAGUAAUACGUAGGUGGCAAGCGUUGUCCGGAUUUAUUGAGCGUAGAGCGAGCGCAGGCGGUUUCUUAAGUCUGAUGUGAAAGCCCCCCGGCUCAACCGGGGAGGGUCAUUGGAAACUGGGAGACUUGAGUGCAGAAGAGGAGAGUGGAAUUCCAUGUGUAGCGGUGAAAUGCGUAGAUAUAUGGAGGAACACCAGUGGCGAAGGCGGCUCUCUGGUCUGUAACUGACGCUGAGGCUCGAAAGCGUGGGGAGCAAACAGGAUUAGAUACCCUGGUAGUCC